rnacentral:siRNA from 1 species
AUUUUGUGGUUUGGUGGGAAAAUA